UACGUAGGGUGCAAGCAUUGUCCGGAAUUAUUGGGCGUAAAGAGCUCGUAGGCGGUCAGUCGCGUCUGCUGUGAAAACUCGGGGCUUAACUCCGGGCCUGCAGUGGGUACGGGCUGACUAGAGUGCGGUAGGGGAGACUGGAAUUCCUGGUGUAGCGGUGAAAUGCGCAGAUAUCAGGAAGAACACCCGUGGCGAAAGCGGCUCUCUGGAACGGUACUGACGCUGAGACGCGAAAGCGUGGGGAGCGAACAGG
rnacentral:rRNA from 1 species